AAAAUACUGUGUGUACGUUCGCGUUCGUUAAUUUUUUUUUCACUCAAAUGUGUGCUGUACUCCUCUCUAAGUAGUUAUAUUUGGUAUUGCAUCGAUGUUGUGCGAGCCAGACACACGUGAAUACUCGUGUCAGGAAUCUGAUAAUUAUAAACAGUAGGCGUGUUUUAGUAUAAAAAAAAUUCAAGCAUAGCCUUAAAAUGACAUUAGGUACUGGUUAGUGAUAUACUUGUUAAAGUAUACGUACACUGCAUCAACUGAUAGAUAUACCUACUGAAAAUAGUAAAGAGUGAUAAUUUGGUGUGAAAAACAGGAUCCUGAAAACAUCCAGUAUGCAUUCAGAAUCAAAAAUUUCAGCUACGAAAGUGAAACAAGAAACUUAAUUUUAUACAAUUUGACGAUAAUUCAAUAUAACAAAGAUCACAGACUCGCUGGUUGUGUAAAUCUUACCAGCGAUAUCCACAUUAAAAACGGUAAUGCAAUUGUGCGUCGCUGCCCAUUUGAAAAAUCCGCAACAGAUUGUGAAAUAUUUCACAACUGGACGUUGACGUCUCAUUUGAAGAGCAUUCUUUACAUGAAAAAUCAAGUGUGGACUCCUUUAUUCGAAAGCAUAACGCCGAGAUUUUCGGAUUUACCCGUGAUAAAAAAGAAUUUUUAUUGUACACCUGGUGCAUAUCUUGAUUCAAAAAAACUCGUGUCUCAAUAUCCGCAGUUCAUCAAUUAUUUUUGGCGAUUGAAGAUCACACUUAAUGAUAAUAAUAAUAAGAAGGCCUUAGUAUUUCGUUUUGAAGGUACUGUUUUUCCUUAUACGGAAGGGAAUGGAAAAAGAGAUCGUAAGAAUAAUCCAAGACGAACGUAGAAGGUAGCACAGGCGAACGUAUAGCAGGUAGCAAGGUAGCACAGACGCAUGUCCAAAUAUUACUUAAGUACGUAUGUAAUAUUGACCAACAAAUUAAAACAUGCUACACAUGAAUCACUUUUUUGUACUCGAUGUUCAAAUAUUCCAUGAAAUAGAAAUCUGUAAACAAGAAAGUUGAAAUAAGGGAGGAACUAUUUAAUUAUUGGCCACGAAAAUCUU